UACAGGGGGGGCAAGCGUUGUUCGGAAUUACUGGGCGUAAAGCGCACGUAGGCGGAUUGUUAAGUCGGGGGUGAAAUCCUGGAGCUCAACUCCAGAACUGCCUUUGAUACUGGCGAUCUUGAGUCCGGGAGAGGUGAGUGGAACUGCGAGUGUAGAGGUGAAAUUCGUAGAUAUUCGCAAGAACACCAGUGGCGAAGGCGGCUCACUGGCCCGGUACUGACGCUGAGGUGCGAAAGCGUGGGGGGCAAACGGG
rnacentral:rRNA from 1 species